GAUGAACGCUGGCGGCGUGCCUAAUACAUGCAAGUCGAGCGAACGGACGAGAAGCUUGCUUUUCUGAUGUUAGCGGCGGACGGGUGAGUAACACGUGGAUAACCUACCUAUAAGACUGGGAUAACUUCGGGAAACCGGAGCUAAUACCGGAUAAUAUUUUGAACCGCAUGGUUCAAAAGUGAAAGACGGUCUUGCUGUCACUUAUAGAUGGAUCCGCGCUGCAUUAGCUAGUUGGUAAGGUAACGGCUUACCAAGGCAACGAUGCAUAGCCGACCUGAGAGGGUGAUCGGCCACAUUGGAACUGAGACACGGUCCCGACUCCUACGGGAGGCAGCAGUAGGGAAUCUUCCGCAAUGGGCGAAAGCCUGACGGAGCAACGCCGCGUGAGUGAUGAAGGUCUUCGGAUCGUAAAACUCUGUUAUUAGGGAAGAACAUAUGUGUAAGUAACUGUGCACAUCUUGACGGUACCUAAUCAGAAAGCCACGGCUAACUACGUG
rnacentral:rRNA from 1 species